AUCUUUUCCACUGGCAAUGAUUUAUUCAGAGUGAUUAUGUUUGUAAUGAUUAGCGCUGACAUUUUCCCUUCAGAGAAGAGCACAUUGCAAGAACCACAAUGCAGCAACAGGAGAGAUAGGUGUCUCGCAGUGAGAACAGGCAGACAAGGGUGCAGAAGAAAACAGACGCAUUGACUGUCAGGAGAGACGGAACAAGAGGAGGAGGAAUGCUUCGCAGGUCCUCAAUUAAACCUUAAUCACAGCCUUUUUUCUAAGGAAACCCUAAAUAUUUUCUCACUCAGUUUAAUAUUUUACUUUUCUGCAGCCAUUUCAAACUGAAUGAAUUUGCAUGGGAGCUGAUUUGCCGUGGGGACGUAAGGACAUGGAGAGGCCUCCGCGCAGGUCCUUGCCGGUCGACAAAGAGGACCGUGCGCGCUCUCGAAAGGAGAGGAGGCGCACGAGGCGCGCAACUGCUAAAUAUCGAUCUGCGCAUGCCUCCAGGGAGCGCGUCCGCGUUGUGGCCUUCAACGUGGCUU